CUGCAUGGGAAAUCCAAGGUAUGUUCACUUCAUGCAACAAAUGCAGUUAGAAAAGUGAAAAUGCACAGAAGACGUACCAGGCACACAAUCACCUUAAUAUCUCUGUCAAAAGCAAAACCUCCCUAGUAAAUAUAGUCAAAUUUAAAAAUCUGACCUUUAGUUACACAGUGGAGUGCAAUUAGCAUGCAACGGAGCUUGCAAAUUAAAGAACAUAUUUAAUUAUUUUGUGCAAUUAUAUAACUGCAAAUCCGCAGACCCAAACCCUGUACUCAUAAUCGUGUUCUCAGUUAAACAUGGAAAUAUAAUUUCAGGGAAAAAACACAUGGGAAGGUUUUUAUGAUCGUUUUGCCUCUCCAAUCCAUUUUUCUCCUGCCCAUUACUGCAGGUACUCAAAGUGUAUUUCAGUCUAGGGAAAAGGUGCCACAGAACCCGCUCCAUCCCCAUUUCCUUUCUGCUGGAAAAGGCCACCUGAGGUCUGUAGAGGAGAAGCGAAGAAAGCCUUGCUCUGUAGGUGAAACUGAAUUCAACUGAACAACCAUCUGAGGCCUCUUUCCGAGAACCUCAGAGGCUCUGCAAAGGGGCUCAGUGUUGAGUGGCUUCCAGGGUCAGCCUAAAUGCUCUGCUUCCAGCCCCUGCUGCAUCCUUCCAGCCCCUGCUGCAUCCACCUGCUGUGUCCUGUGUGGUCUGAGAGAGUUAACGUGCUGACUCUAGUGCCCUGUUCCCCGAGGGUGUUGGGGGCAGUCUUAGUGUUUGCCUCCAGAUGGACAUACUUUAAAAUUUACUACCAAACUUGAAUUGUCUGCAUUGUUGCUGCAGUUCUCAGUGCUGGACACUGGCCUAACGCCCACCUGGGCCCCUGCCUCUGGCACUCGUGAGCACUCUGGGGUGCUCUGGCCUGCA
rnacentral:lncRNA from 1 species